UUUGACUCGAGCUGAGACGGGCCGGUUCAGACCGCUGAAACUUUUCCCUGCACCGUUCUAAAACGGUUUCGUCUCGCCGCAAAUCUUUGGUCUGAACUGUGCUUAACAGUAAACAUGUCACGACUGUAAACAAUAUUUAAGUUAGCAUAUCAGUGGACAAUAAAAAUGUACCCUUUAGUCCUGAAACAUUUAGUGCAGUGAGCAUCAUUCUUCCUUUGAACAGUAAGUGGCCUUUAUGACAGCAGUGAUAACUGCUGGUUUGCAGAGAUGCCCUGGCUCGUUCAUAGAUAAUAACAAAAAAAAAGAGCUGUUACCCUUUCACACGUAGCUUCAGAGUCCAACACAUUACACAGACAACUGUCUAAGCUGCCAAAGUAACACCCCACAAAGACAGAACAGCCACUACAGAUUUCCCUUUAUUUAACAGACACGUACUGUAAUUCAGAAGGCAGCAUCUUCACGGAAAAAAAUCAAUAAAAAAGUCCCUUCUACACACAAACUGAGAAACUCCCUUUCAGCUAAUCCUUCUCUUGUCUUCUCAGAACAAGGUGAA